UGCGUAGGUGGUUUCUUAAGUCAGAGGUGAAAGGCUACGGCUCAACCGUAGUAAGCCUUUGAAACUGGGAAACUUGAGUGCAGGAGAGGAGAGUGGAAUUCCUAGUGUAGCGGUGAAAUGCGUAGAUAUUAGGAGGAACACCAGUUGCGAAGGCGGCUCUCUGGACUGUAACUGACACUGAGGCACGAAAGCGUGGGGAGCAGACA
rnacentral:rRNA from 1 species